GGAUAACCAACGAAAGUUUGGCUAAUACCGCGUAAGCUCCAAGGAGGAAAGUAGGGGACCUAAAUAAGGCCUUACGCUAUUUGAUCGGCCGAUGUCGGAUUAGCUAGUUGGUGGGGUAAUGGCUCACCAAGGCAAUGAUCCGUAGCGGGUCUGAGAGGACGAUCCGCCACACUGGGACUGAGACACGGCCCAG
rnacentral:rRNA from 1 species